ACGCUCGACACCUACGGGGGGCAGCAGUGGGGAAUAUUGCACAAUGGGGGAAACCCUGAUGCAGCGACGCCGCGUGAGCGAAGAAGUAUUUCGGUAUGUAAAGCUCUAUCAGCAGGGAAGAUAAUGACGGUACCUGACUAAGAAGCUCCGGCUAAAUACGUGCCAGUAGCCGCGGUAAUCUGAGCGGGCUGGCAAGGC
rnacentral:rRNA from 1 species